GGCGGGGAGGCUCCCGCUUCCAUCGGGAAGCGCUCGGGAGCGGCUCGUGCCCGCGGGAACCGGCGACGCGAGUGCGGACACUGGGGGCUGCCGCCUCCUCCGGUCUAAUAGCUGCUCUGCGGGGAAUCAGAGUUAUAUUCCAGCAAAACUCGGGCGUGUAGGCCGCCCCGCUGCGGUGCCGUGGCAGGUGUCGCCAGUGGUGCUGUUACCCGCGGUGUCCCAGGCUCGGCAGCUUGGUCGUGGAAAGACAGCACCAGCAGAUUGCUUACACAGAACAAGAAGCAAACGCACACAGCCUCAGGAUGCAGUUACACCAUCUCUUAAGGCUGCACUGAGGGAACUCGGCAGAGCUGUGUUAGUUUGACUGCCACAAGACUGGGAGCACAGUGCC